rnacentral:rRNA from 1 species
GAUGAACGCUGGCGGCGUGCCUAAUACAUGCAAGUCGAGCGAACGGACGAGAAGCUUGCUUCUCUGAUGUUAGCGGCGGACGGGUGAGUAACACGUGGAUAACCUACCUAUAAGACUGGGAUAACUUCGGGAAACCGGAGCUAAUACCGGAUAAUAUUUUGAACCGCAUGGUUCAAAAGUGAAAGACGGUCUUGCUGUCACUUAUAGAUGGAUCCGCGCUGCAUUAGCUAGUUGGUAAGGUAACGGCUUACCAAGGCAACGAUGCAUAGCCGACCUGAGAGGGUGAUCGGCCACACUGGAACUGAGACACGGUCCAGACUCCUACGGGAGGCAGCAGUAGGGAAUCUUCCGCAAUGGGCGAAAGCCUGACGGAGCAACGCCGCGUGAGUGAUGAAGGUCUUCGGAUCGUAAAACUCUGUUAUUAGGGAAGAACAUAUGUGUAAGUAACUGUGCACAUCUUGACGGUACCUAAUCAGAAAGCCACGGCUAACUACGUGCCAGCAGCCGCGGUAAUACGUAGGUGGCAAGCGUUAUCCGGAAUUAUUGGGCGUAAAGCGCGCGUAGGCGGUUUUUUAAGUCUGAUGUGAAAGCCCACGGCUCAACCGUGGAGGGUCAUUGGAAACUGGAAAACUUGAGUGCAGAAGAGGAAAGUGGAAUUCCAUGUGUAGCGGUGAAAUGCGCAGAGAUAUGGAGGAACACCAGUGGCGAAGGCGACUUUCUGGUCUGUAACUGACGCUGAUGUGCGAAAGCGUGGGGAUCAAACAGGAUUAGAUACCCUGGUAGUCCACGCCGUAAACGAUGAGUGCUAAGUGUUAGGGGGUUUCCGCCCCUUAGUGCUGCAGCUAACGCAUUAAGCACUCCGCCUGGGGAGUACGACCGCAAGGUUGAAACUCAAAGGAAUUGACGGGGACCCGCACAAGCGGUGGAGCAUGUGGUUUAAUUCGAAGCAACGCGAAGAACCUUACCAAAUCUUGACAUCCUCUGACAACUCUAGAGAUAGAGCCUUCCCCUUCGGGGGACAAAGUGACAGGUGGUGCAUGGUUGUCGUCAGCUCGUGUCGUGAGAUGUUGGGUUAAGUCCCGCAACGAGCGCAACCCUUAAGCUUAGUUGCCAUCAUUAAGUUGGGCACUCUAAGUUGACUGCCGGUGACAAACCGGAGGAAGGUGGGGAUGACGUCAAAUCAUCAUGCCCCUUAUGAUUUGGGCUACACACGUGCUACAAUGGACAAUACAAAGGGCAGCGAAACCGUGAGGUCAAGCAAAUCCCAUAAAGUUGUUCUCAGUUCGGAUUGUAGUCUGCAACUCGACUACAUGAAGCUGGAAUCGCUAGUAAUCGUAGAUCAGCAUGCUACGGUGAAUACGUUCCCGGGUCU